rnacentral:hammerhead_ribozyme from 1 species
GCACUACUGAGAGGUCCCAAAAUAGGACGAAACGGCCGUCCAGUGC